rnacentral:rRNA from 1 species
UACGGGGGGGGCAAGCGUUGUUCGGAAUUACUGGGCGUAAAGGGCUCGUAGGCGGCCAACUAAGUCGGAUGUGAAAUCCCCAGGCUUAACCUGGGAACUGCAUCCGAUACUGGUUGGCUUGAAUCCGGGAGAGGGAUGCAGAAUUCCAGGUGUAGCGGUGAAAUGCAUAGAUAUCUGGAGGAAUACCGGUGGCGAAGGCGGCAUCCUGGACCGGCAUUGACGCUGAUGAGCGAAAGCUAGGGGAGCAAACGGG